rnacentral:lncRNA from 12 species
CCCGGCCCGCCCUCCCCUGUCCUGAGGGAAGCCGGGCAGGCCCGAGGAGCGGGAGGCACAGGGAGGUUGAGGUGAGGGAAAGGUGGGGACUCAGUACAGCUGAGUGUUCUCCAGGGCUCCUCCUCUCACCGCAGCCAUGCGGACUGUUUAAUAGGGGCCUGAAGGCCCCAAAACCCACCAAGAGCGAGAGGAUGACAACCACCAAAUACCUCUGUAGGAAGAAGACAGGCAGAGAGUUUAUUCAGCUUGCCCAGCACUUCAGCCACAGGAGCCAACUCCAAGGCCAUGGAGACCAGGAAUAGACACAGUAACAGCAAAGAGUCUCUGGUGUGCCACUACUGUGAUAUGUCCAAGCUGAGAGCCGCUGGCAAGCUGAUGAGUCUCCUGAUUAGGAGCUGGUAGUGAUCAGACCAUUUACUUGACCUUAAGACACCUUAAGACCUGGAGUAUUGUUAUGCUGCCACCUC